rnacentral:rRNA from 1 species
UACGUAGGGUGCAAGCGUUGUCCGGAAUUAUUGGGCGUAAAGAGCUCGUAGGCGGUCUGUCGCGUCUGGUGUGAAAACUCGGGGCUUAACCCCGGGCCUGCAUCGGGUACGGGCAGACUAGAGUGCGGUAGGGGAGACUGGAAUUCCUGGUGUAGCGGUGAAAUGCGUAGAUAUUGGGAGGAACACCAGUGGCGAAGGCGGCUCACUGGACCGGUACUGACGCUGAUGCGCGAAAGCGUGGGGAGCAAACGGG